UACAGAGCGUGCAAGCGUUGUUCGGAAUUAUUGGGCGUAAAGCGCGUGUAGGCGGCUUGAUAAGUCUGGCGUGAAAGCCUGGGGCUUAACCUCAGAAGUGCGCUGGAAACUGUCAAGCUGGAGUAUCGGAGGGGGAAGUGGAAUGCCGAGUGUAGAGGUGAAAUUCGUAGAUAUUCGGCAGAACAUCAGUGGCGAAGGCGACUUCCUGGACGAAUACUGACGCUGAGACGCGAAAGCGUGGGUAGCAAACAGG
rnacentral:rRNA from 1 species